AAAUGAUUAUAAGUUGUCAUGUUUCGAGUGAAUAAGCAAGACAUCAGGAGGAGAGGCGGAGCUCGAUGGCUAGUGGUGACCACAACUGCUCUCUUGCCAGCGCUGCCGCCACAGCAUGUGCGAUCCUUCUCGGGCCUCCCCACUGCCAGGGCCAAGAACUGAGAGGCGUGCAAAUACUCCCUGCCCUAACCUAGCCGACGACACAUUGCUGCUGUUGCAUCUGAUAAUGAUGAUGCAUGUCACCAUCAAGGUGGUUUUGCCAUUUCCAGUGAGAAAAGGAGAUCAAGGCUGGCCUCCCUGUGCUCCUGCUAGUGCACACAUGUUUGGGGGUUGUUGUUGUUGUUUUCCCUAUCCGUGUCCCCGAUCUGCUGCUGCGGGUACGGCUUCUCGGCCUCAGAUGCGGCCCUAGAUUCCUGCACUAGUCGUCGCAAGCAUCGACCAGCGGUGGGCUAGCAUUCCGGGUGGAUGACACCACUUGGUGCACUGAGAUUGGCAUCGACUACAAUCCGUCCUAGAUCUGGAAGGGACAUCUUCAAGAUCAUGUGCAUCCCGAGCCUUCGUCUUCUGGCUAAGGAGACUAGUCACUAGCUGAUUUGACACCAGAUUCUGUUGUACCCACUAAACUUCCUCGGGUCCCUAAAUAUGUGAAUUCUUCUCAAGGACCUGUUAGUAAUACAUCAUCAACAUCCUAGCAUGGUGCUGCGAACUCAGCUGUGAGUGUUCCAUAUAUGCUUCUCGUUGCCAAGCUCUUCGAUGGGAUCUCUUAGCUCGGACAAAUCAAGUUUCAACCUAGAUGCUAAGGUUCGGUAUGUG